rnacentral:rRNA from 1 species
GUAGGGGGCAAGCGUUGUUCGGAAUUACUGGGCGUAAAGGGUCCGCAGGCGGCCAUGCAAGUUGAGGGUGAAAUCCCCGAGCUCAACUCGGGAAUUGCCUUCAAAACUGCGUGGCUUGAGUCCGGUAGAGGGAGAUGGAAUUCUCGGUGUAGCGGUGAAAUGCGUAGAUAUCGAGAGGAACACCAGCGGCGAAGGCGAUCUCCUGGACCGGUACUGACGCUGAGGGACGAGAGCGUGGGGAGCAAACAGGGAUUAGAUACCCUGGUAGUCCACGCCAUAAACGUUGGGCACUUGGUGUUCCCGAGCCCUUGAGCUUGGAGUGCCGUAGCUAACGCGUUAAGUGCCCCGCCUGGGGAGUACGACCCGCAAGGUUG